rnacentral:rRNA from 1 species
ACGUAGGUGGCAAGCGUUGUCCGGAUUUAUUGGGCGUAAAGCGAGUGCAGGCGGUUCAAUAAGUCUGAUGUGAAAGCCUUCGGCUCAACCGAAGAAUUGCAUCAGAAACUGUUGAACUUGAGUGCAGAAGAGGAGAGUGGAACUCCAUGUGUAGCGGUGGAAUGCGUAGAUAUAUGGAAGAACACCAGUGGCGAAGGCGGCUCUCUGGUCUGCAACUGACGCUGAGGCUCGAAAGCAUGGGUAGCGAACAGGAUUAGAUACCCUGGUAGUCCAUGCCGUAAACGAUGAGUGCUAAGUGUUGGGAGGUUUCCGCCUCUCAGUGCUGCAGCUAACGCAUUAAGCACUCCGCCUGGGGAGUACGACCGCAAGGUUG